AAGCUUCCAGAAAGAAACUUCAGUGUUGUCGCAAAUCGGUGCUCAUCUUGGGCAGAGUGAUGUCCUCUGAAGGAUCCACUAUGUCCUCGGAGCACCGUUCUUUUAUUCUACAGAUUCUCUUCAUCCACGUGCUGAUCUCUCUGUCCAACCUCUGACUAACGGCAGGGUUCUGUUCACUGAUGGUUGCUGUUACUGUAAGCCGAAUGGCUCUUCGGCUGCGGCAGCUGCCGUAGAGGAGCAGCAGCCCUCAGAUCCAGGACUCUCUUCCAUCAUCACCUCCUACACUUGAUCUUCCUGAAUGGUCAGCUGUCUACCUUAAACGAGUCUCUCGCUUUGCCGUGGAGACGAACAACAUCAGAU